rnacentral:lncRNA from 1 species
CGCAAUUAAACAUGAAGGAUUGUGAAGGCAAAAGAUGAACCAGCCAGCCUAGUCUCUGGAUGCAUAAGCUCCAAGUGUGGAGGAGACCCGGAGAGAAAAGCAGACUGUUCUCUGUGUUUACCUGUAAGCACAGGCCGCAACCUGCCAUGCUGUUUUUAAAUGCCCAAGAGCUGGUGACAAGAGGGUUUCCCUUUGCCAUCUGGACCUGAUUGCCUUAGAGCAUCCUACCCAGCUUCUAAUCUAAGCUCAAACACACCCUCCUUCAGGAAGAUUUGCUGUUCUACCUUCUCCCCACCAAGCAGAGUGAAGGGAUUCUUCUUUGGAACUCCCACUCUCCUUUAUUUAUCUCCAGAUGGAUGAAAAAGGAAG